rnacentral:lncRNA from 1 species
GCGACGCCUAGCGUCAGCCAUGCCAUUUUCAAAAAGAAUACAAAAUAUAUUUGAAAGUUUCAAAAAGUAUCAAAAAAAGUCGUACAAAUAUAUAUACAUGUUCUUCAACUAUGUGUAAGAUUUCCUUAACUAAUGGGAUUAUUUGAGGACUAAUAGAAAAACACAAAUAUCUGGUCCAAAUACAACAGAGAAAGCCCAUUUUAAUCUAUGUAUUUGUCCUUUUUGUGUACAUCACAUCUGAGUAUACUACAAAUAUAUGAUUAUGUGUUUUUUUCAGAAUAUUUUAGGCAUGGAAAUAGUAUUUUCACUGAAAAAAGUAAAGACCUCCCUCAAGCUCAGCCUCCAGGUGCACUUUACGGGCGAAUACUCCUUUAUAAUGUGCAGUGACUAGUGAGAUAUACACAACUCUAUGCAGGUCACUCUGUGCAUUUUAAAACCGAACCGAAAAACCAUACCGAAAAUAAACCAAACUGAACCGAUUUUUUUGUUUUUAUGGUUUCUGGUUUCGGUAUGAUAUGAACUUUUCAUACCGAUUUAAACUUUGGUUUUAUGGUAUAUACCGAAAAACCGAAUGGUUAACCGAAUAAACCGAAGUAAAAAAUAAAUUUAUAUUUCUUGAGAUGAACAACCGUACAAGUUGUCAUUUUUCUUGUACAUGAGCCAAAUUCACUACUAAGCACCUACAUUUUUCUUGUAACAUUGUCAUUUUUCUCUUUUUAAAAUGCUAAGCACGUCCAUAACCAUCAACAGAUGAAUCAAUGCAUGCAUAUAUACUUAUAUAUAUAGUCAUAUACUAUUUGUGUAAAAUAGAAUGUGUUUUGAGUCAUAAAUUUGUAAAUUAUUAUUACGUCAUUUUCAAAUUCGCGUCAACUUUGGUUUUUAUGGUAUAUACCGAAACCAUACCGAAAUAAUUUGGUAUAUACCGAAACCGAACCGUAUUUUAAUUUCAUACCGUAUUUACCGAAGUAUUAAUACCGUAUAUACCGAAAAACCGUAUAAACCGAAUCAUGUAAACCGAAUAAACCGAACGCACAGGGCUAUAUGCAGGUCAGCUAAAAAAACUGUAUGCAGGUCAGGAAAUUAGCCUAAAUGAGCAGCUACGAAGAACCGUUCUACCUCAGAUUUACAGCAAUUACACUCACCGUAGCUAAUUUACAAAACUUCUUUUCCUGUCAGAUAAUCCCCUUCCUCUUCUGUGCAGUCCUCUA